rnacentral:rRNA from 1 species
UUGCUUUUGAUGGGCGUCGACCGGCGCACGGGUGAGUAACGCGUAUCCAACCUGCCCACCACUUGGGGAUAACCUUGCGAAAGUAAGACUAAUACCCAAUGACGUCUCUAGAAGACAUCUGAAAGAGAUUAAAGAUUUAUCGGUGAUGGAUGGGGAUGCGUCUGAUUAGCUUGUUGGCGGGGUAACGGCCCACCAAGGCAACGAUCAGUAGGGGUUCUGAGAGGAAGGUCCCCCACAUUGGAACUGAGACACGGUCCAAACUCCUACGGGAGGCAGCAGUGAGGAAUAUUGGUCAAUGGACGAGAGUCUGAACCAGCCAAGUAGCGUGCAGGAUGACGGCCCUAUGGGUUGUAAACUGCUUUUAUAAGGGAAUAAAGUGAGUCUCGUGAGACUUUUUGCAUGUACCUUAUGAAUAAGGACCGGCUAAUUCCGUGCCAGCAGCCGCGGUAAUACGGAAGGUCCGGGCGUUAUCCGGAUUUAUUGGGUUUAAAGGGAGCGUAGGCCGGAGAUUAAGCGUGUUGUGAAAUGUAGACGCUCAACGUCUGCACUGCAGCGCGAACUGGUUUCCUUGAGUACGCACAAAGUGGGCGGAUUUCGUGGUGUAGCGGUGAAAUGCUUAGAUAUCACGAAGAACUCCGAUUGCGAAGGCAGCUCACUGGAGCGCAACUGACGCUGAAGCUCGAAAGUGCGGGUAUCGAACAGGAUUAGAUACCCUGGUAGUCCGC